CACGUAGGGUGCAAGCGUUGUCCGGAAUCAUUGGGCGUAAAGAGCUCGUAGGCGGCUCAGUAAGUCGGGUGUGAAACCUCCAGGCUCAACCUGGAGACGCCACCCGAUACUGCUGUGGCUAGAGUCCAGUAGGGGAGUGUGGAAUUCCCGGUGUAGCGGUGAAAUGCGCAGAUAUCGGGAGGAACACCAGCGGCGAAGGCGGCACUCUGGGCUGGUACUGACGCUGAGGAGCGAAAGCGUGGGUAGCAAACAGG
rnacentral:rRNA from 1 species